rnacentral:lncRNA from 1 species
ACAAAAUGACACAGUUAUGUUUGUUAUGGCUCCUUUAUCAAAUAAAAUGCAAUGUGAUCAUUGAUAUCAGGGAGAUCUGUAGAAGAUACAAAGAGCACAGAGAAGAAUGGAGCCUCACAGCUCUGGGGAAAUCAAGAAAGCCUUCGUUGAGAAGAUGAUCUUGCAUUGAGUUCUCCAGAAGCUGGGGAUCUAGUGAUGAACAACACAGAAAUCCAUCUAUUCAUGGAGUUUGUAUUCCAGAGCAUGGUGAAACUCAAUUCAAAGAAUCGUAGA